rnacentral:rRNA from 1 species
UAGGGAAUAUUGGACAAUGGGCGAGAGCCUGUUCCAGCCAUGCCGCGUGCAGGAAGAAGGCAUUCGGGUUGUAAACUGCUUUUAUAUGAGAAGACUAUGACGGUAACAUAUGAAUAAGGACCGGCUAACUACGUGCCAGCAGCCGCGGUAAUACGUAGGUGGCGAGCGUUGUCCGGAUUUAUUUGGUUUAAAGGGUGCGUAGGCGGCCCGGAUAGUCAGCGGUGAAAUACGGCAGCCCAACUGUCGAGGUGCCGUUGAUACUGCCGGGCUUGAGUGCGUUCGAGGGAGGCGGAAUUGACGGUGUAGCGGUGAAAUGCUUAGAUAUCGUCAAGAACACCGAUAGCGGAGGCAGCCCCCCAGGCCGCCACUGACGCUGAGGCACGAAAGUGCGGGGAUCAAACA